rnacentral:rRNA from 1 species
GAUGAACGCUGGCGGCGUGCCUAAUACAUGCAAGUCGAGCGAACGGACGAGAAGCUUGCUUCUCUGAUGUUAGCGGCGGACGGGUGAGUAACACGUGGAUAACCUACCUAUAAGACUGGUAUAACUUCGGGAAACCGUAGCUAAUACCGGAUAAUAUUUUGAACCGCAGGGUGCAAAAGUGAAAUACGGUCGUGCUGUCACUUAUAGAUGGAUCCGCGCUGCAUUAGCUGGUUGGUAAGGUAACGGCUUACCAAGGCAACGAGGCGUAGCCGACCUGACAGGGUGGUCGGCCACACUGGGACUGAGACACGCUCCAGACUCCUACGGGAGCCAGCCGUAGGGAAUCUUCCGCCAUGGGCGAAAGCCUGACGGAGCAACGCCGCGUGAGUGAUGAAGGUCUUCGGAUCGUAAAACUCUGUUAUUAGGGAAGAAAAUAUGUGUAAGUAACUGUGCACAUCUUGACGGUACCUAAUCAGAAAGCCACGGCUAACUACGUG